rnacentral:rRNA from 1 species
GAUUUUAAAGGGCCGCGGUAAUUUGACCGUGCAAAGGUAGCAUAAUCGUUAGUUUUUUAAUUGGAAUCUUGUAUGAAUGGUUUGACAAAAGAAAAUCUGUCUCUAUUUUUUUCUUUGAAUUUAACUUUUGAGUGAAAAGGCUUAAAUAGUUUAAAAAGACGAUAAGACCCUAUAAAGCUUUAUAAAUUGUUUGUUACUAAGCUGAAUUAAUAAAUAAUAGUUUAGUAAGAGAAGUUUAUUUUAUUGGGGCGAUAGUGGUAAAAUGUUUAUUAACUGUUAAAAUUUUAAGACAAAUAUAGUUGAGUAAAGUUGUAUAAAUUGAUCCUGGAAUAUAGAUUAAAAGUUUAAGUUACUUUAGGGAUAACAGCGUUAUUUUUUUUGAGAGUUCAUAUCGAAAAAAAAGUUUGCGACCUCGAUGUUGAAUUAAAAUGUCUGUACAA